ensembl:snRNA U6 U6 spliceosomal RNA
GUUCACUUCGGUAGUACAUAUACUAAAAUGGGAAUGAUCCAGAGAAGAUUAGCAUGGCCCCUAUGCAAGGAUGACAUGGAAAUUUGUGAAACGUUCCAUAUUUUU